GAAUGGAUAUGAUGUGGAGAAAUUAAACACUUGUUCACUUCAUCUCUUAGUAUAUGACAUCUUAUGUAUCUACCUACUGUCAGUGUGCAAAGUUCUGGACUAUUGUUGAUUGAUUGGAUCUCCAAUCUUGGCUGUUCUUGACAGUGGAGCUGUUUUGAUAUCAUUUUUUGGUUAAAAAGGUAGCUCACGCAGAGAAAGGGGAUGCAGUUUAUAUGGAGAUACAGGAAAUUUCUGUUACUGACUUUUUUCUGCAAUGUUAAGACUAUUGGAGGUAAAUUAUAAUGAGAUAGAAGUAUGUAAGAAAUUUUCUACUCUCAUCAUUGUUUUGCACAGUUUGAUGUCAUAAAGUCCAGUUGGCUCUAAUAAUGACUAUCUGUUUUAUUGACUAUUGCCUGCAGGGGUUUUAAUUGUAUUGUGGAAUUUAUCAAGUGCUUCACAUAGAUGUUCAACUCUUCAAGGAUCUUUUUUAUCCAGCAGUUUGUUUCUUUUCUACUUGUUGUGACUGCGAGUCUGCGAGGUAUAUGUCUCCUUAUUUCUAGAAGUUUUGUCUCGUUCUUGUACAGGACAUUUCUGCAAUGUCCAUGCCUAUCGUUUUGUGGUGUUUGCAGUGGUGGGCAAGAAAUACACUAUUUUACUUGUCUUGCAUUUCCCUAAACGAAGUGCAGGCACUGGGCAGGUUAGCCUUUUCCCUUAGUUGUACUUAUAUUCUAUCGAUUGCUUGUAUUUUGAACCUGUGUUCUUCACUUGUGUGUUUAUAUGUUAAUGUAACUUCAUUUGGUGCCUCUCUAUGGUUUGGCCAAUACUGUCAAUGAGGUAUGUGGCCUUUGUAUGGUUUGCCCACUUUGUUUUGUUAACAUGCACCGUCCUUUUGUAUUUGCCCAUGUCUUAUUGCAGGUGGCUGAUAAUACACACUCAGGUCCUGGUCCAGGUUAAAUGUGCUCAUAUUUGUGAUAUACAAAGAGUUGAUAAGGUUGAUGAACCACCAUAUCGUGAGCUCCAUUAGGUUGGCCAGCUACUACAUCUUGAGGAACAUCGGGCUCAUCAUGUGCUGGGCUUGAGUUGAGAUCUAGUACACCAUCAUGUGCUGGGCUUGAGUUGAGAUCUAGUACACCAUCGAGACCUCUGGUGAUCUUGAGCUUCAUCAGGUUCAUCAGCCACCAUAUCUCGAGCUUCAUCAGUUUCAUCAGCUACCGUAUCUUGAGCUUCAUCAGGUUCAUCAUCAUAUGUACUCAUGGAAUUAAGAUACUACUGGAGUAGAUAAUGAGCAACCAACACAUCUUGUAGAUGGCUAAGCCAGACUUUUCUAGUAUUGUUUUAGAGUACAGGAAUGCAUUCAGAUUUAAAUCAA